rnacentral:rRNA from 1 species
CUACGGGCGGCUGCAGUGGGGAAUUUUGCGCAAUGGGGGAAACCCUGACGCAGCGAUACCGCGUGAGUGAAGAAGGCCUUUGGGUCGUAAAGCUCUUUUCUAAGGGAAGAUAGUGACGGUACCUUAGGAAUAAGCGCCGGCUAACUCCGUGCCAGCAGCCGCGGUAAUACGGAGGGCGCGAGCGUUGUUCGGAUUUACUGGGCGUAAAGGGCGCGUAGGCGGCCUGUCAAGUUAAGGGUGAAAUCCCGGGGCUCAACCCCGGAACUGCUCUUAAAACUGCCAAGCUAGAGAUGGUCAGAGGCGGGUGGAAUUCCAGGUGUAGAGGUGAAAUUCGUAGAUAUCUGGAGGAACACCGGUGGCGAAGGCGGCCCGCUGGGGCCAUUCUGACGCUGAGGCGCGAAAGCGUGGGGAGCGAACGGGAUUAGAUACCCCGGUAGUC